UAGGGAAUCUUCGGCAAUGGACGAAAGUCUGACCGAGCAACGCCGCGUGAGUGAAGAAGGUUUUCGGAUCGUAAAACUCUGUUGUUAGAGAAGAACAAGGACGUUAGUAACUGAACGUCCCCUGACGGUAUCUAACCAGAAAGCCACGGCUAACUACGUGCCAGCAGCCGCGGUAAUACGUAGGUGGCAAGCGUUGUUCGGAUUUAUUGGGCGUAAAGCGAGCGCAGGCGGUUUCUUAAGUCUGAUGUGAAAGCCCCCGGCUCAACCGGGGAGGGUCAUUGGGAACUGGGAGACUUGAGUGCAGAAGAGGAGAGUGGAAUUCCAUGUGUAGCGGUGAAAUGCGUAGAUAUAUGGAGGAACACCAGUGGCGAAGGCGGCUCUCUGGUCUGUAACUGACGAUGAGGCUAGGAAGCGUGGGGAGCAAACAGG
rnacentral:rRNA from 1 species